UCAGCAGUCAAGAAUAUUAGUCAAUGGCCUAACGGCUGAACCAGCAACUCGGAGGAAUGUAAGUAUAUGUAGGGUUAGCCUUACAUAUGCGUUUUGAGUCACGUCGACAGAAAUCAUUACACCGAUUUCUGAUGCUGAGGAAUUUGUUAUUAUAUUUCAUGAUCACGUCUCGUGCCAGCAGUCGCGGCAAUACGAGGAAGACUAGUGUUAUUCAUCUUUAUUAGGUUUAAAGGGUACCUAGACGGCAUAUCAAGCCCCAAAAGGGAACAGAUAUACUAGAGUUUUAUGUGAGAGGAAUAUAUUAGUACUAUUGGUGUAGAGAUGAAAUUCUUUGAUACUAAUAGGACGGAUAAGAGCAAAAGCAAACCUUUAUGUAAAAACUGACGUUGAGGGACGAAGGCUUGGGUCGCGAAUAGGAUUAGAUACCCUAUACUCCAGGCAGAAAAUUAGUCAAUGCCAUAGACUUGAUUUAUGUAAGUGUAUAAAUGAAAGUGUAAGCAUUCCACCUCAAGAGUAAUGUGGCAACGCAGGAACUGAAAUCAUUAGACCC
rnacentral:rRNA from 1 species